rnacentral:lncRNA from 1 species
GACUAUGAUACCCUAGUGAAGUACUUCACUAAUGAGACUUACGGAUUUACCUUUGGGCGAUGUUUUUAGCAUGAUUGAGCACGGUUUUACAUGUACAUGUUUUACGAAGGCUUUGCAUGGCAUGCUAGGAUUUUUAUAAAACCUAUAUGUAGUAUUAUAUAUAUGUUUUCAAAACAGGGGGUUACUAUGUUCAUAAAGAAAACGGUUUUUCUAUUAUUAAUAUUAUAAUUAUAAACUUUGGUCUACUCAUCUUUUCUGU